rnacentral:rRNA from 1 species
AUUGAACGCUGGCGGCGUGCCUAACACAUGCAAGUCGAGCGGUAACAGGCGUAGCAAUACGUGCUGACGAGCGGCGAACGGGUGCGUAAUACAUGGGAAUCUGCCCUCUGGUGGGGAAUAACCCGGCGAAAGCCGGGCUAAUGCCGCAUAAGAUCUUCGGAUGAAAGCGGGGGACCGUAAGGCCUCGCGCCGUUGGAUGAGCCCAUGUCGGAUUAGCUAGUUGGUGGGGUAACGGCCCACCAAGGCGACGAUCCGUAGCUGGUCUGAGAGGACGGCCAGCCACACUGGGACUGAGACACGGCCUAGACUCCUACGGGAGGCAGCAGUGGGGAAUAUUGGACAAUGGCGAAAGCCUGAUCCAGCGACGCCGCGUGUGUGAAGAAGGCCUGCGGGUUGUAAAGCACUUUCGAUGGGAACGAAAUGUGCCGGGCUAACACCCCGGCAAGCUGACGUUACUCAAUGAAGAAGCACCGGCUAACUCUGUGCCAGC